AACAAACGCUGGCGGCAGGCUUAACACAUGCAAGUCGAGCGCCCCGCAAGGGGAGCGGCAGACGGGUGAGUAACGCGUGGGAAUCUACCCACCUCUACGGAAUAACGCAUGGAAACGUGUGCUAAUACCGUAUACGUCCUUCGGGAGAAAGAUUUAUCGGAGAUGGAUGAGCCCGCGUUGGAUUAGCUAGUUGGUGGGGUAAAGGCCUACCAAGGCGACGAUCCAUAGCUGGUCUGAGAGGAUGAUCAGCCACACUGGGACUGAGACACGGCCCAGACUCCUACGGGAGGCAGCAGUGGGGAAUAUUGGACAAUGGGCGCAAGCCUGAUCCAGCCAUGCCGCGUGAGUGAUGGAGGCCCUAGGGUUGUAAAGCUCUUUCACCGGUGAAGAUAAUGACGGUAACCGGAGAAGAAGCCCCGGCUAACUUCGUGCCAGCCGCCGCGGUAAAAC
rnacentral:rRNA from 1 species